GGUCCGAUGUUAUUCGGUGGGGGCACUGCUCCAACGUAGCGUGUCAUCCAGGAGUCAGCCGCACUAGCUUUUUGGUUAAGCAACGCUUUUGGUGGCCAUUGAUGGCUCGUGACAUUCACAGUUUUGUCUUGGCCUGCUCGGUUUGUGCCACUGGGAAGACUUCUAAUCGACCCCCAGAUGGGUUACUCCAACCGCUGUCGGUCCCUUCGAGACCCUGGUCCCACAUCGCGCUAGAUUUUGUUACCGGCCUCCCGCCCUCCCAGGGCAAGACGGUUGUUUUGACCGUGGUGGACCGGUUCUCGAAGGCGGCUCAUUUUAUUCCCUUGCCUAAAUUACCAUCUGCCAAGGAGACAGCGGUAACUGUCGUGGAUCACGUCUUUCGCUUACAUGGCCUGCCGAUGGACGUAGUUUCUGACCGGGGCCCCAAUUUGUGUCCAAGUUUUGGCAAGAGUUUUGUAGGUUACUGGGAGCGAGUGUCAGCCUGUCUUCAGGGUUUCAUCCCCAGAGCAACGGUCAAACGGAGAGGGCCAACCAAGAUUUGGAGAGAGUGUUGCGAUGUUUGGUUUCUAAGAAUCCCUCUUCCUGGAGUCAACAACUCUCUAUGGUUGAGUACGCUCACAAUUCGUUGCCAGUGGCAGCCACGGGUCUCUCUCCGUUUGAGUGUAGUUUAGGUUACCAGCCACCUAUCUUUCCCAGUACGGAGUCCGAGGUCACUGUUCCCUCCGCUCACGCUUUCAUCCAGAGGUGCCGUCACGCAUGGAGCAGAGCCCGUGAGACUCUUCUCCGGGUGGGGGCGCGCACCAAGGCUAAGGCCGAUCGCCACCGGUCGAAGCCUCCGGUAUACGUCGUUGGCCAAAGAGUGUGGCUUUCUACUAAGAACAUUCCACUCCGAUCCGUUUCGAACAAGCUUGCCCCCAAAUUUAUCGGCCCGUUCAGAGUCACCAGGAUCAUUAGUCCGGUGGCGGUCCGGCUCAAGCUUCCUCCGGCGUAUAGGAGAAUUCAUCCUACCUUUCAUGUGUCUAAAAUAAAACCUGUGUUUCAGGCACGCAUUAACCCGCCGGUCCCGGUUCCCCCGCCGCCACGACUUGUUGAUGGGGAGACCACCUUUUCUGUCAAUCGUAUUUUGGACUCUAGAAGGAGGGGACGCGGAUUCCAGUACCUGGUGGACUGGGAGGGUUACGGCCCGGAGGAGAGAAGUUGGGUACCUGCUAGGGACAUUCUGGAUCACUCCCUUAUCGAUGAUUUCAAUCGACAGUGUUUGUGUGGGCGUGGUUUCCCAAUCUCGGCCUGAUUGUUUGCGCCAGCUGGAACCACUUAUCUUCCCUUUAUAUGUUCUGUUACCAGUGUUUCUUGUUGUCAGAUCGUUGUUUCUUCUCUGAGGUUGUGUCGUGUGUCCGUGCUCUUCUCUUGUGUGGAUUAUCUGCUGUGCUCCUUCCUACUCAUCUGGACACACUCCCCUGGUUUUCUCAGCACGUUAUGAUCGGAAGAUGCGCCCGAGUUCCUGGGUCGGAUUCCUUCUGAGUACAGUCUGUCUGUCAUGUUGCUGCUGUGAACUACAUUCAUUAAAACCAUCGUUGCUUGCAUCUUG